rnacentral:rRNA from 1 species
GACGAAGGGGGCUAGCGUUGUUCGGAAUUACUGGGCGUAAAGGGUGCGUAGGCGGUUCCGCAAGUCCUGUGUGAAAUCUUCGGGCUCAACUCGAAGUCUGCACGGGAAACUGCGGGGCUUGAGUGUGGGAGAGGUGAGUGGAAUUCCCGGUGUAGCGGUGAAAUGCGUAGAUAUCGUCUGGAACGCCAAAGGUGAAAACAGCUCGCUGGGGUUGUGCUGACGCUGAGACACGAAAGCCAGGGGAGCGAACGGG